AGUGGGAUAGCUGGGUCAAAUGGUGGUUCCAUUCCAAGUUCUUCAAGGAAACUCCAUACUGCUUUCCAGAGUGAAGCACCAAUUUGCAGUCCCACCAGCAAU
rnacentral:pre_miRNA from 1 species